rnacentral:rRNA from 1 species
AAGCCCGGGCUUGCCCGGGUGGAAAGUGGCGAACGGGUGAGUAACACGUGAGGAACCUGCCCCGAAGACGGGAAUAAGCCGGGGAAACCUGGUCUAAUGCCCGAUACCCUCACCGGACCGCAUGAUCCGGCGAGGAAAGCUCCGGCGCUUCGGGAUGGUCUCGCGGCCUAUCAGCUUGUUGGCGGGGUAACGGCCCACCAAGGCGACGACGGGUAGCUGGUCUGAGAGGAUGUCCAGCCACACUGGGACUGAGACACGGCCCAGACUCCUACGGGAGGCAGCAGUGGGGAAUCUUGCGCAAUGGGCGAAAGCCUGACGCAGCGACGCCGCGUGCGGGAUGAAGGCCUUCGGG